GACUAUCGAUUGAAAUUAAAACAAAAUAAUAAAUGAGCCUUUAUUACUGAAGUUACAACUUUACGUUUCAUUUACUAUUAUUAUGCAUCGGUACUUUAAUGUCCAGCUUGAUCUUCGACAUUGGCUUCAUCGAAAGAUUUCCACUUUUCUCUAUCCCUCGCAAUUCUCAUAUGUUCUGGUCCAGCAGUUCUCCUUAGGUCAUCUUCCCAACGCUUUGGUUGUCGCCCUUUGCUCCUUUUUCCAUCUGUGGCAAUAUCAUUCUGAUAUUGUUUUCGAUGAUUUCAUAUUUUUCUGUUUAAUCAUUUGCUGGCCCUGCCACAUGUUCGCCAACUUAAUGUACUUAAUAUGAUAUUGAGUAAACAUUCCAUUAGAUAGUAUGUGUAAUUGUGUAUCUAUCUACUUAUCAAGACCCCAUGAAAUGUGUAAAAAUUAAAAAUGGAAAUCCAAUACAGGUGGCGACGAACGCAUUCCUGGCGAUGGGUGCAAGCGUUACGUGCGCACGUGUGUGGCCUACGUGACCUACCGCGUGUGUGGCGACAAAGCUCUCGAACUCCGGUCUCCUUCGAAAGCCGUCGACAGGUGGCGACGAACGCAUUCCUGGCGAUGGGUGCAAGCGUUACGUGCGCACGUGUGUGGCCUACGUGACCUACCGCGUGUGUGGCGACAAAGCUCUCGAACUCCGGUCUCCUUCGAAAGCCGUCGACAGGUGGCGACGAACGCAUUCCUGGCGAUGGGUGCAAGCGUUACGUGCGCACGUGUGUGGCCUACGUGACCUACCGCGUGUGUGGCGACAAAGCUCUCGAACUCCGGUCUCCUUCGAAAGCCGUCGACAGGUGGCGACGAACGCAUUCCUGGCGAUGGGUGCAAGCGUUACGUGCGCACGUGUGUGGCCUACGUGACCUACCGCGUGUGUGGCGACAAAGCUCUCGAACUCCGGUCUCCUUCGAAAGCCGUCGACAGGUCGAAAUACUUUUACUUAAUGUUGUUAAUUUUCAAAGAUAUUACAAAAGACACAAACUAGCGGCGACGGUAGCCGAAAUUUUAAAAGUUCUACGUCUGAAUCGGA